CAUUAAACUGGCGAACUUGCGACAGUCGUGACAAAUGGCUCUCGAGGCCAUUCGCGCGAGUAUAUUAACAUCAUAAUGAAACUCGCUCCACCAGAAACGUCGUGACGGGUAAUUGGAGUUCUUCAUAGAUUUGCGCGGCCACGCGUAACUUCUUAAAUUCUACAGACAUUUAUAUAGUAACGAUCGAAGUCGAAGAAUUCGAGGAAGAUGCGAUAAGUUCGCGCAUCGGUAUAUUCCAGCAAUUUACAAUUAGUUCUGGCCGAACGUAAUUAGGACACACGUGGCUGAUAAUGUCAACAACAUGGAGCUUAUUUACGUUGUGGCAGCUGGUAACAGAAGAGUUACCUUGCGCGUGGAAUAUGAACGAUGGGUUCGUUGUGUAACUCGUAUGUAACGUUGAAGGAACGAUCAUCCAUUUUGUUUCGUUAAAUGACAAAAGUUCUUCGCAUCGAGGAACAGUUCUUCGUUUAGAUUCUACAGAUUAUUAUUAGUUGAUUAUUAUUAGUUAGUUGAAAAAUUAUUUCAAUAGUCAUUUUCAACGAAGGAUAUACGAUCAACGUGACCACGUGCGAUUUAAAAUUCUGAAAUUAACUAUAAAAUACAAAAUGUUCUCCUAUUCCCUGUAAGUCACCGAGAGCGUUUCUCAGCCAUACAUUAGCGUGUCAUCGCCUCCCAUCACAAGGCAUAAUCGACUGACAGAAUUGAAUCGCAUCAUAUAACAAACGUGCAUGCAACGAAGACUACUAUCGACGUAUCAGACAAACGGUCAUUCGCUCUUAAAAGUUGCAUGACCUGCCACGAUUAGCAUUUCCAACUGGGUGGUAAUCGUCAUCGGUAGCUUGGCAUCAGAUGACGCGCUCUCACAAGAGGGUCAACCCUCAAUUCUCGUGUCACCUCACGAUAUCCAAGGAGUAAAGGCAAAUCGACAGAGUGAGAUGAAAGAUAUAGAAAAAAGUUUUUCGCUGAAAAUGAGAUUUUUAUGAAAUAGAAGCUUUCGUUUUAAAACAACUCGUUUAUUAGUGAAGAAAUGAACGAAUAAAUUUAUCAAUUUUUUACUAUGC